UCCGGCUUAUCACCGGCAGUUUCUUUAGAGUGCCCAACUAAAUGGUAGCAACUAAAGACGAGGGUUGCGCUCGUUGCGGGACUUAACCCAACAUCUCACGACACGAGCUGACGACAGCCAUGCACCACCUGUCACCCGGCCACAAGGGGGGCACCAUCUCUGAUGCUUUCCGGGCGAUGUCAAGCCUUGGUAAGGUUCUUCGCGUUGCGUCGAAUUAAACCACAUCCUCCACCGCUUGUGUGAGCCCCCGUCAAUUCCUUUGAGUUUCACCCUUGCGAGCGUACUCCCCAGGUGGAAUACUUAUCAGGUUACCUACGGCACUGAUCCUUACGGACCAACACCAAGUAUUCAUCGUUUAGGGCGUGGACUAC
rnacentral:misc_RNA from 1 species